rnacentral:rRNA from 1 species
UCACACACCGCCCGUCCGCUUCAUCGAAGUUAGUUUUAGGCGAGGUGGUGCGAUAUUGGCAUUAUCGAACCUGAGAUCAGCAACGAGGGAG